AUAUUGAUCGAUGGAAUGUAUAGAGUGUAUUGAAAGUUGUACAUAAAAAAAACAGCUCUCUGGAGAAACAGUGUUUGUGUAAGGAUAGUUUGGGAAUUUAUAAACGGAUUACCCCCAGAUGAGGCCAGCUGGUCCAAAAACAAUCCGAAACAAUGGCCACGGUUACAAUAUGAGGACCUUGUAGACUAUAUGAUAAAUAAAAAAGCAUAUGAUGGGAGACAAAUGAAAGCAUUUAGAUCAUUGUAUGGAAAAAACUAUGUGGAAAGUGGGUGGCUAGGUGAUAUGUUACUGUUUUAUGUAUUACUGUAAGGAUGAAACUCGGCACUUCCUCAAGGCUACUGUUUCACCAAGCCAACCUGGUGUUGGACGUACGGAUUACAAUGUUUGGGUUGCUGUUUCAGAUUCUGCCAUUGAUACCGGAUAUUGUACCUGUCCUGCUGGUUCUGGAAGGAGUUGCAGUCACAUAGCUGCAGUUGUUUAUGCUGUGAUAAUGGCUUGGGAUCACGGUUUAGCAGGAGAAACUUGUACCGAUAAACCACAGCUUUGGGGGAAAGGGUCGGCACAAGUUUUGACUAGUCACCAGCAAUUUGCUGAUAUCAUUGCUGAAAAUUUAUGCUAACAUAAAUGUAUUAGAAAAAGCAAUGUUAAGUUCGCCAGUCAUCAGUCAUGUGGACAGAUAGUCGUAAAGUUCGGUUAACUGCAAGCAAGAUAAAUAGCAUCCCAAAGACAUCACGGGCUGAUCCAGACAAGUUUAUCACCAACCACAUACCACUUAUAAUUAAUACAUGUAUUCUGUAGAGACGUUUGACAAAACUGUACAUUUAAAUUAUGUUGUCUAGGUUUUCAAAAUCUGAAACGAAGCAAGAAGAACUUUUCUGAGGCUUAAGUGUUGAAGUUCAGUUGUGACUGUCAUGCCCUAGGAUAUGCUAAUGGAUUGAUGGAGAAGAACGUCUGGAUUCAGAUACAGAAAGUAACAUGGUAGACAUGUACAUAUUUAAAGCAAGUGGAAACCUUUAAAAGAACGAACAACUAAACUAAGAAUUAGGUGCACAUCAUAGGAUAUUGACGCCAAUGGAAACAAAAUGUUUGUACUAGUUGAUCGCAGGAAUAUUGAUGAAAAAGUUAAAAGACAUUCAGUGAUGGGGAUGAAGCGGAGGCCUUAUCGAUAAAUAAAGAGUCCCCAGUUCAGGAAAUGGUACAGCGCUGAGAAUAUUUUGAAAGUUAAGAAAGGU